rnacentral:rRNA from 2 species
GUUAUAGGAUCCAGCGACUAAGUGCAUAUGGUGGAUGCCUUGGCGAUCACAGGCGAUGAAGGACGUAGUAGCCUGCGAAAAGCUGCGGGGAGCUGGCAAACAAGCUUUGAUCCGCAGAUAUCCGAAUGGGGAAACCCACUCCGCAAGGAGUAUCCCUGACUGAAUACAUAGGUCAGUGGAAGCGAACCGGGUGAACUGAAACAUCUCAGUAGCUCGAGGAAAAGAAAUCAACCGAGAUUCCGAAAGUAGUGGCGAGCGAAAUCGGAAGAGCCUUCACGUUUUAGCAUGCAAGAUAGUCGAACGGAAUGGAAAGUCCGGCCGUAGCAGGUGAUAGCCCUGUAGACGAAAUUUUGUGUGUGGAACUAAGCGUGAGAAAAGUAGGGCGGGACACGUGAAAUCCUGUUUGAAGAUGGGGGGACCAUCCUCCAAGGCUAAAUACUCGUGAUCGACCGAUAGUGAACCAGUACCGUGAGGGAAAGGCGAAAAGAACCCCGGAAGGGGAGUGAAAUAGAUCCUGAAACCGUAUGCAUACAAACAGUAGGAGCCUCCUUGUGGGGUGACUGCGUACCUUUUGUAUAAUGGGUCAGCGACUUACAUUCAGUGGCAAGGUUAACCGAAUAGGGAAGCCGUAGCGAAAGCGAGUCCGAAUAGGGCGAUUCAGUCGCUGGGUGUAGACCCGAAACCAGAUGAUCUAUCCAUGGCCAGGUUGAAGGCACGGUAACACGUGCUGGAGGACCGAACCCACUAAUGUUGAAAAAUUAGGGGAUGAGCUGUGGAUAGGGGUGAAAGGCUAAACAAAUCUGGAAAUAGCUGGUUCUCUCCGAAAACUAUUUAGGUAGUGCCUCAAGUAUUACUGCGGGGGGUAGAGAACUGUUAUAGCUAGGGGGUCAUGGCGAUUUACGAAACUAUGGCAAACUCCGAAUACCUGC